CCUACGGGAGGCAGCAGUGAGGAAUAUUGGUCAAUGGGCGCGAGCCUGAACCAGCCAAGUAGCGUGAAGGAUGACUGCCCUACGGGUUGUAAACUUCUUUUAUAAAGGAAUAAAGUGAGGCACGUGUGCCUUGUUGUAUGGACUUUAUGAAUAAGGAUCGGCUAACUCCGUGCCAGCCGCCGCGGUAAUACGGAGGAUCCGAGCGUUAUCCGGAUUUAUUGGGGUUAACGGGAGCGUAGAUGGGUUUUUAAGUCAGUUGUGACAGUUUUCGGCUCAACCGUAAAAUUGCAAUUUAUACUGGCAGUCUUGAGUACAGUUGAGGUAGGCGGAAUUCGUGGUGUAGCGGUGAAAUGCUUAGAUAUC
rnacentral:rRNA from 1 species